rnacentral:snRNA from 1 species
AGAUGUGAAGGCUAUCUAGCUGUGUCUUCUGUCACCUCCGUGGAUGGCCAGAGUUGAUUUGGCUUAUCUGGCUGGCUAGGCAGGUGACCUCUUCCUCCCUCACUUCUCCAUGUGUGUCCCUUCCAAAGUUGCACGCACUGUCAAAGAAGAUGACCUUUCCCCAUUAAAGGAGGAUCAUUCUUUGGUCAAGAGUAUAAGAGUAGCUGUGCUCCUCUGCUAGAAUCUCCAAAUAAGAUCUCAAGAAAUUUAUAAUCUAGUUGGGAAGAUAACAGAAAAAUAUGUACAAAAAUAAGAAGCUGAGGCAAAAGGAUUUGAAAUUC